CAUCUUGAGGAGAUCAAACCUGUUCUCUACCUGUCCACAAAUGCACAGAAUGUGAAAGAUGCUAUCACUGCAGGAUACGGAGCAGCCACUAUGUUCCAGAGAGUUUACCACGAGAACAGUGAUGAAGAGUUACGUGUGGCCUUUGAUGGUGAUGGAGUCCAGUUUUCAGAUGAGUCAGAGAGAGUCACCAAAGAGAAAGUAUAGGGGCUUUCUUUCAAAAUGAGCGUGAUAAAGAGGCCAAAUCUUUGGAACUGGGUCCUCUAAAAGAGUUUUUUUAAAGCAUUGGUACUUCUCCAGAAGUUGUUCAAUGAAAGCAACCAAAAGAGUUCAAUCCGUACCUACUUGGUAACCACGCAGCACAACAAGUCCUGGAAUCAGAGCCCUAAAGACUCUUCAGGAGAACAAUCUGGAGAUAAAUGAGGCAUUCUUUCUGAGUGGUGCCCAUAAAGGGCCUGUGCUGAAAGCAAUCAUUCCUUACACAUUUUUUGAUGACCAGAUGCCACAUGUUGAUGGAGCCCUUCAAAAUGGGGUUAUUGGUGCUCAUGUACAUUAUGUGAGGAAUGAGUGAAAAUAAAACCUAAUCUUAUAUGUAAAGGGAUAACAACAUACUUUCUUCUGCAACAUGAUUUAUGUCAGGAAAGCUAUAUUUGGUAAUUAUUUCCAGUCUUGUUUCUUAAGGCUUAAAGUGCAAAUGAAAUUAAAGCAAAUGCUGAUUUUAUGGUAUUGUUGAGCUGGUGAUGAUAUAUUUUAAUGGAUAAACUAAUCAGUAAAGC